UACGGAGGGUGCAAGCGUUAAUCGGAAUUACUGGGCGUAAAGCGCACGCAGGUGGCUGAGUAAGUCGAUUGUGAAAGCCCUGGGCUUAACCUGGGAAUUGCAGUCGAUACUGCUCGGCUAGAGUAUGGGAGAGGGUAGUGGAAUUCCCGGUGUAGCGGUGAAAUGCGUAGAUAUCGGGAGGAACAUCAGUGGCGAAGGCGGCUACCUGGCCCAAUACUGACACUCAGGUGCGA
rnacentral:rRNA from 1 species